rnacentral:rRNA from 1 species
UACGGAGGAUGCAAGCGUUAUCCGGAUUCAUUGGGUUUAAAGGGUGCGUAGGCGGAAUAAUAAGUCAGUGGUGAAAGCCUGCGGCUUAACCGUAGAAUUGCCAUUGAUACUGUUGUUCUUGAGUAUAGUUGAGGUGGGCGGAAUGUGUAAUGUAGCGGUGAAAUGCUUAGAUAUUACACAGAACACCAAUUGCGAAGGCAGCUCACUAAGCUGUUACUGACGCUGAGGCACGAAAGCGUGGGGAGCAAACAGG